ACCAAACCUGAUGGUGUGCCUAGUGAAAAC
rnacentral:piRNA from 1 species